UCGGGAAUCUUGGACAAUGGGCGCAAGCCUGAUCCAGCCAUGCCGCGUGAAUGAUGAAGGCCUUAGGGUUGUAAAAUUCUUUCGCAGGGGACGAUAGUGACGGUACCCUGAUAAGAAGCUCCGGCUAACUUCGUGCCAGCAGCCGCGGUAAUACGAAGGGGGCUAGCGUUGUUCGGAAUUACUGGGCGUAAAGCGCGUGUAGGCGGGCCGUUAAGUCGGGGGUGAAAGCCCAGAGCUCAACUCUGGAAUUGCCUUCGAUACUGGCGGCCUGGACCCAAGUAGAGGCGAGUGGAAUUGCGAGUGUAGAGGUGAAAUUCGUAGAUAUUCGCAGGAACACCAGUGGCGAAGGCGACUCGCUGGACUUGUGGUGACGCUGAGACGCGAAAGCGUGGGGAGCAAAC
rnacentral:rRNA from 1 species